UACGUAGGAGACGAGCGUUGUCCGGAGUUAUUGGGCGUAAAGGGAGUGUAGGCGGUCUGUUAAGUCUUCUGUGAAAUCUACGGGCUUAGCCUGUAACGUGCAGAGGAAACUGACAGGCUUGAGUGUCGGAGAGGAUAGGGGAAUUCCCGGUGUAGAGGUGAAAUUCGUAGAGAUCGGGAGGAACACCAGUGGCGAAGGCGCCUGUCUGGCUGACAACUGACGCUGAGACUCGAAAGCAUGGGGAGCAAACAGG
rnacentral:rRNA from 1 species